rnacentral:rRNA from 1 species
CGGCGAACGGUCGCGUAACACGUAAGCAACCUGCCCCAAAGACCGGGACAACGUUCCGAAAGGAGCGCUAAUACCGGAUGUGCCCGCGAGAAGACCUCUUCUUGUGAGUAAAGCGGGAAAUCGGCUUUGGGAGGGGCUUGCGGCCUAUCAGCUAGAUGGUGGGGUAACGGCCUACCAUGGCGACGACGGGUAGCUGGUCUGAGAGGAUGGUCAGCCGGAUUGGGACUGAGAUACGGCCCAG